rnacentral:rRNA from 1 species
GACGAACGCUGGCGGCGUGCUUAACGCAUGCAAGUCGAACGGAAAGGCCCUGCUUUUGUGGGGUGCUCGAGUGGCGAACGGGUGAGUAACACGUGAGUAACCUGCCCUUGACUUUGGGAUAACUUCAGGAAACUGGGGCUAAUACCGGAUAGGAGCUCCUGCUGCAUGGUGGGGGUUGGAAAGUUUCGGCGGUUGGGGAUGGACUCGCGGCUUAUCGGCUUGUUGGUGGGGUAGUGGCUUACCAAGGCUUUGACGGGUAGCCGGCCUGAGAGGGUGACCGGCCACAUUGGGACUGAGAUACGGCCCAGACUCCUACGGGAGGCAGCAGUGGGGAAUAUUGCACAAUGGGCGGAAGCCUGAUGCAGCAACGCCGCGUGCGGGAUGACGGCCUUCGGGUUGUAAACCGCUUUCGCCUGUGACGAAGCGUGAGUGACGGUAAUGGGUAAAGAAGCACCGGCUAACUACGUG